UACGUAGGGUGCAAGCGUUAAUCGGAAUUACUGGGCGUAAAGCGUGCGCAGGCGGUUGUGCAAGACAGAUGUGAAAUCCCCGGGCUCAACCUGGGAACUGCAUUUGUGACUGCACGGCUGGAGUGCGGCAGAGGGGGGAUGGAAUUCCACGUGUAGCAGUGAAAUGCGUAGAUAUGCGGAGGAACACCGAUGGCGAAGGCAAUCCCCCUGGGCCUGCACUGACGCUCAUGCACGAAAGCGUGGGGAGCAAACAGG
rnacentral:rRNA from 1 species